AACGAACGCUGGCGGCAGGCCUAACACAUGCAAGUCGAGCGAGGACUUCGGUCCUAGCGGCGGACGGGUGAGUAACGCGUGGGAACGUGCCCUUUGCUUCGGAAUAGCCCUGGGAAACUGGGAGUAAUACCGGAUGAGCCCUUUGGGGGAAAGAUUUAUCGGCGAAGGAUAGGCCCGCGUUGGAUUAGGUGGUUGGUGGGGUAAUGGCCUACCAAGGCGACGAUCCAUAGCUGGUUUGAGAGGAUGAUCAGCCACACUGGGACUGGGACACGGCCCAGACUCCUACGGGAAGCAGCAGUGGGGAAUCUUAGACAAUGGGGUAAGCCCUGAUCGAGCCAUGCCGCGUGAGCGAUGAAGGCCUUAGGGUUGUAAAGCUCUUUCAGCUGCGAAGAUAAUGACGGUACCAGCAGAAGAAGCCCCGGCUAACUCCGUG
rnacentral:rRNA from 1 species